rnacentral:rRNA from 1 species
GAUGAACGCUGGCGGCGUGCCUAAUACAUGCAAGUCGAGCGAACAGACGAGGAGCUUGCUCCUCUGAUGUUAGCGGCGGACGGGUGAGUAACACGUGGAUAACCUACCUAUAAGACUGGGAUAACUUCGGGAAGCCGGAGCUAAUACCGGAUAAUAUAUUGAACCGCAUGGUUCAAUAGUGAAAGACGGUUUUGCUGUCACUUAUAGAUGGAUCCGCGCCGCAUUAGCUAGUUGGUAAGGUAACGGCUUACCAAGGCGACGAUGCGUAGCCGACCUGAGAGGGUGAUCGGCCACACUGGAACUGAGACACGGUCCAGACUCCUACGGGAGGCAGCAGUCGGGAAUCUUCCGCAAUGGGCGAAAGCCUGACGGAGCAACGCCGCGUGAGUGAUGAAGGUCUUCGGAUCGUAAAACUCUGUUAUUAGGGAAGAACAAAUGUGUAAGUAACUAUGCACGUCUUGACGGUACCUAAUCAGAAAGCCCCGGCUAACUACGUG